AUGAACGCUAGCGGCAGGCUUAACACAUGCAAGUCGAGGGGCAGCAUGACGCGGAGAUUCGUCGAAGUGUCGAUGGCGACCGGCGCAAGGGUGCGUAACGCGUGAGCAACUUGCCCGUUUCAGGGGGAUAACCGGUGGAAACGCCGACUAAUACCCCAUAGCAUCACAUUGAGGCAUCUUGAUGUGAUUAAAGAAAUUCGGAUGAGGAUAGGCUCGCGUGACAUUAGCUAGACGGCGGGGUAACGGCCCACCGUGGCGACGAUGUCUAGGGGUUCUGAGAGGAAGGUCCCCCACACUGGAACUGAGACACGGUCCAGACUCCUACGGGAGGCAGCAGUGAGGAAUAUUGGUCAAUGGCCGAGAGGCUGAACCAGCCAUGCCGCGUGAAGGUCACGGCCCUAUGGGUCUUAAACUUCUUUUGUAAGGGAGCAAUAAGGGUCACGUGUGGUCCGAUGAGAGUACCUUACGAAUAAGCAUCGGCUAACUCCGUG
rnacentral:rRNA from 1 species